AUUGAACGCUGGCGGCAGGCCUAACACAUGCAAGUCGAGCGAGCGGCGGACGGGUGAGUAAUGUAUGGGAAACUGCCCGAUGGAGGGGGAUAACUACUGGAAACGGUAGCUAAUACCGCAUACUAUCGGAUGAACCCAGAUGGGAUUAGCUAGUAGGUAAGGUAAUGGCUUACCUAGGCGACGAUCCCUAGCUGGUCUGAGAGGAUGAUCAGCCACACUGGAACUGAGACACGGCCCAGACUCCUACGGGAGGCAGCAGUGGGGAAUAUUGCACAAUGGGCGCAAGCCUGAUACAGCCAUGCCGCGUGUGUGAAGAAGGCCCUCGGGUUGUAAAGCACUUUCAGUGGGGAGGCGUUACCCACAGAAGAAGCACCGGCUAACUCCGUGCCAGCAGCCGCGGUAAUUC
rnacentral:rRNA from 1 species